GGCGGGAAGGGGUUCCUGAGGGUGGGGGCACCCUCAGGGCACUAUAGUGCCAGGAAAACGAGUAUGUUUUCCUAGCACUAUAGCGGUCCUUUAACUUUCACAAAAACAUCAAUUAAACUGUUAAUGGCUCGCAACUGAUUCUUCUCCUGCAUCUGUCAUAAAAAAAUCCCACACUAAGUCUUCAGUGAAUACUAAUCUACCAAUAUACUUCCCUUACCUUUUGUCAGUUUACUCCAUUCUAGCACAGUGGUUCUUAAGCUAGUCCUUAUGGCCCACCAACAGACAGCCAUUAGACGCAAUUCCGGGCCCAAAGGUGAAGUUUGGUUGCCUAAAUGACGCUGGACGUUCUCACGCUAUGUAUGAGGACUUCCAGCAUCACUGGAAUCCCCAUUAUGGGGAAAUGCGAGCAAUGAGUGAAGGCGGACCUGAGUCAGCGCCAAGGGACAAUGGCGCUGGAACCCCAGUAAGUGAUAGAGG